AAUGAACGCUGGCGGCAUGCCUAACACAUGCAAGUCGAACGAGACCUCCGGGUCUUGUCGCGCACGGGUGCGUCACGCGUCGGAACCUGCACUUAGGUUCGGCAUAACUCCCCGACAGGGGUGCUAAUACCGGAUAAUGUCUUCUGCCCAAAGAUAUAUCGCGUUUGGAUGGGCCCGCGUUGGAUUAGCUAGUUCGUAGGGUAAAAGCAUACCAAGGGCCCGAUUCAUAGCUUGGUUGAGAGGCUGGUCAGCCACACUGGGACUGAGACCCGGCCCAGAAUCCUACGGGAGGCGGGAGUGGGGGAUAUUGGAAAACGGCCGAAGGCCUGAACCAGCAAGGACGCGAGAGUGAUGUAGGCCGGAGGGUUGUAAAGCGCAAGUACCCGGGAUGAUAAUGACGGUACCGGGAGAAAAAGCCCCGGCUAACUACGUG
rnacentral:rRNA from 1 species